AGAGUUUGAUUCUGGCUCAGGAUGAACGCUAGCUACAGGCUUAACACAUGCAAGUCGAGGGGCAGCAUGAGAUUAGCUUGCUAAUCUUGAUGGCGACCGGCGCACGGGUGAGUAACGCGUAUCCAACCUUCCCCUUAGUAGGGCAUAGCCCGGCGAAAGUCGGAUUAAUACCCUAUGUUCUUCGUAGAGGACAUCUGAAAUGAAGCAAAGACUUGUCGCUAAGGGAUGGGGAUGCGUCUGAUUAGGUUGUUGGCGGGUAACGGCCACCAAGCCGACGAUCAGUAGGGUUCUGAGAGGAAGGUCCCCCACAUUGGAACUGAGACACGGUCCAAACUCCUACGGGAGGCAGCAGUGAGGAAUAUUGGUCAAUGGGCGAGAGCCUGAACCAGCCAAGUAGCGUGCAGGAUGACGGCCCUAUGGGUUGUAAACUGCUUUUAUGCGGGGAUAAAGUGAGGGACGUGUCCCUUUUUGUAGGUACCGCAUGAAUAAGGACCGGCUAAUUCCGUGCCAGCAGCUGC
rnacentral:rRNA from 1 species